GGCGCCUUGACGGAGUGGUUACGUAGCGGUCUGCAAAACCGCGUACACCGGUUCGAACCCGGUAGGUGCCUCCA
rnacentral:tRNA from 1 species